GAUGAACGCUGGCGGCAUGCCUAACACAUGCAAGUCGAUCGGAAAGGCUCUUCGGUGUACACGAGCUGCGGACGGCUGCGUAACGCGUAGGAACACACCCUGCAGUGAGGGAUAAGGCACCGAAACGUGUUCUAAUACCGCAUACCGUCUUGGGAUUACAGCAUUUAUGGGCUGAAGGAGUGGCCUGCGUCAUAUUAGAUAGUUGGUGGGGUAAUGGCUCACCAAGUCGAUGAUGUGUAGCUGGUGUGAGAGGAGGAUCCGCUAGACUUGAAAUGCGACACGGUCCAGAACCGUACGGGAGGGAGCAGUGAGGAAUAUUACACACUGAGCGCAAGCGUGAUGGAGCAAUGCCGCGUGCAGGAUGAAGGCCGUCGGGUUGUAAACUGGUUUUAUAAGAGAAGAUUAUGACGGUAACUUAUGAAUAAGGGACGGCUAACUACGUG
rnacentral:rRNA from 1 species